UGCGGAAGGAUCAUUAUUGAAUGAACUUGAUGUAGUUGUCGCUGACCCUCUUGGGGGUAUGUGCACGCUCAUCAUCUUUAUCUCUCCACCUGUGCACCUUUUGUAGACUUGGAUAGUUAAUUUUCUGAGGCAACUCAGUCUUGAGGAUUGCUGUGUUGUUAAAGCCAGCUUUCUUUGUAUAUCCAGGCCUAUGUUUUCAUAUACUCCAAUGAAUGUAAUAGAAUGUAUCAAUGGGCUUUGUGCCUAUAAACUAUAUACAACUUUCAGCAACGGAUCUCUUGGCUCUCGCAUCGAUGAAGAACGCAGCGAAAUGCGAUAAGUAAUGUGAAUUGCAGAAUUCAGUGAAUCAUCGAAUCUUUGAACGCACCUUGCGCUCCUUGGUAUUCCGAGGAGCAUGCCUGUUUGAGUGUCAUUAAAUUCUCAACCUUACCAGCUUUUGCUAGUAAUGGCUUGGAUAUGGGGGUAUUUUUUGCUGGCUUCUUCAAGAGGUCUGCUCCCCUUAAAUGUAUUAGCUGGUGCCCCGCGUGGACUGUCUAUUGGUGUGAUAAUUAUCUACGCCAUGGAUGUCUGCUUUUAAUGGGAUGUGCUGCUUCUAACUGUCUUGUUUUUAAAGACAAUAAAUGACAAUUUGACCUCAAAUCAGGUAGGACUACCCGCUGAACUUAAGCAUAUCAAUAAGCGGAGGAAAAGAAACUAACAAGGAUUCCCCUAGUAACUGCGAGUGAAGCGGGAAAAGCUCAAAUUUAAAAUCUGAUAGUCUUUGGCUGUCCGAGUUGUAAUCUAGAGAAGUGUUAUCCGCGCUGGACCGUGUACAAGUCUCCUGGAAUGGAGCGUCAUAGAGGGUGAGAAUCCCGUCUUUGACACGGACUGCCAGGGCUUUGUGAUGCGCUCUCAAAGAGUCGAGUUGUUUGGGAAUGCAGCUCAAAAUGGGAGGUAAAUUCCUUCUAAAGCUAAAUAUUGGCGAGAGACCGAUAGCGAACAAGUACCGUGAGGGAAAGAUGAAAAGAACUUUGGAAAGAGAGUUAAACAGUACGUGAAAUUGCUGAAAGGGAAACGCUUGAAGUCAGUCGCGUUGGUCAGGAAUCAACCUUGCUUUUGCUGGGUGUACUUUCUGGUUGACGGGUCAGCAUCAAUUUUGACCGUUGGAUAAAGUCUGAGGGAAGGUGGCAUCUUCGGAUGUGUUAUAGCCCUUGGUCGCAUACAACGGUUGGGAUUGAGGAACUCAGCACGCCGCAAGGCCGGGUAUUUAUACUACGUUCGUGCUUAGGA
rnacentral:sRNA from 1 species